GUGAAAGCAAAGGAUGGAAAAUAAGUAUGUUGUGAAAAUCCAACAAAAAAUACAUUGAAAAAUUUUAAGAUAAAUUUUAAGAUAGCAUGUUUAACACUCUAGAAAAUAGAAAAGAAUAAAGUACCUCUAAAACGUCUUGGGGGAAAAAAGGUAAAUGUAAAACUUUGCUGAUCAAGAUAAAGAUCCAAUGUAAACUACUCUUUUAUUGGAAGAAAAAAGAAAAAGAGAAAAGAAAGGGCUAAAGAAAGACAGGGUUUGAUUAAGCGGUGCCACGCCUGAGCUAGUUUAAGUGGUUGAACUCAAUCUCCUGAGCUGUGCAAUCAGAAAAAUCAUAGUCUUUGUUAACCAUUUUUCUCUGUGUUUCCAUAUUUUGCAGGAGUCUUCAGCCAUGAAAAGUGUGAAAGCAUGGUCAGGAUUACAGGUACAGCUGGAGCUCAGCGAGGAGCUAAGGCCUGGGAGCCUAAAAUUGGUUUCUGUACAUAUGUAUAUCAAAGACAAGUGCUGGAUUUUGGCAGAAUGCAAAAGAGAGAGGAGGCAAUCCAAAUGUUAAGUUCCUCGUACAUGAGGAAAAUAAAGUGUGUAGGCCACUCUGAAGAUCAAGUGCCACCUGUUACGGGAAAGGGUACAAAAGACCUUUGACCUGUCUGCUGCUGGGGAGUUUUGGCCACAUCUGGGAUUUCCAUCAGCACUCACCUUCUUCAGCCCAUGAAAAGGCCAUGGCAGGUGUUGGUUAAAGAGGGGAAGUUGCUUUCAAAAGACUGAGAUGAAAGAACUACUGGAAUCAAAUAGCUUACUGUAAAGACUGAUUUUCUUUUGCACAGUCCUAAGAAAUGACCUGUCCUUGGCCUUCCAAGAUCUUGCUUCCAGAAUAUUAACCUGUCAGGACUGGAAAGAAGCAAAAGCAGGUGAGACCAUCUGAGGCGAUCAGAGGGUCUUGAUGGCAAAAACAAAGUGACUGUGUCCCUUUCCCAGACCCCAGACUCCCAGCUAUGGUGGGACUAAGAAUGCUGAAUGCUGGUUCUCAGGCCAGUGAACCUAAGAAACUGAAGAGCGCGAAAAGUGCUCUUGGCAGGAACUAUUUUAGUAGUGCUCAAAAUACUUUUAAUGAGAAGGGGAAGCAGGAACUUCAAAUAAAGUUUCUCUUUUGCAUUCCACCAAGAACAGAUGUUUGCUUUAUUCAAAGAAAAGUUUCAUGGGGGUGAUUUCAUGCAUAGCUAAGAGCAGUAGUAGGGUUUUUUAGCUGUUAGAGCUGGGGUUGAUUUACAUAAUCAGGGUAUUACCACUCCUGUGGCUUUCUACCUAUAUGCUAUUAAACAUAUGUGUGUGUGUGUGUGUGUGUGUGUGUGUGUAUGUGUGUUCAUAACGCUGGAAUCAAGUAAAAGAUCCACCAUCAUUUCCUCAUCAUUCUUGGGAAUAUUUACAGUAUCAGGGCUGUUCUCUUAUCCUGCAGUUGUAAUAAAAGCAGCACUUUGUACAAAACAUCUCAUUUAAUUAUUAUGACAAUCCUAUGAGAUAGGAAUUACUGUCCCCACUACAUAGAUGGGAAGACCGAUGCUUAAAGAGGUUGAAUACACAUGCUGAGGUAGCAUAAACAGGAGGUGGCAGAGUUGGGAUCUGAGCUGAGAAAGUCCAGGGCUCUCAAUUACACUCCCACAGGAUAAAGAGCAUACAUUGUACAGGCUGCACAAAGUCAUGAAGAAAUCUUGGGUAACCAUCUGCAAGCCCAUUUACUGAUUUUCCUCCCUUUAACAGGACUGACCCACAAGCCCACACAGUGUGACAUCCGCUGUUCGCUACCACUUCACCCUGCGUCUCUCUACUUAUGCUGAUUUCCGUCCUUUCCAAGAUUAGCAUUUGGCCUGCCUUCUCUCUAUGGCCUUACUGGCCAACCCUGUCAGCAGUGUGCCCUGAAUAAAAGAAUCAGGCAUAAAGUCCUUGUCCAUCUUUCCUAGUAGAAAGGGGAUUCCUCCAUGGACUUAUGGAGCUGCCCAGUUUAUGUAACCAUAGCUGACUGCCUAGUCUCUUCUUUCACCGGAGCUCCAUGAUACCAUAUCCUGUUGAAAAUGACACAAGAAGGAAGAAAAAGUCCCUUUAGCUGGUAGUCAUCAACGUUUCCUUUCCACCCCCUCCAGUAUGUCUUCAUUCUUUCUCUUUCAGCUCUUCAAUCUACUGGAUUUUUAAAGAGGCUGUGCUGUGUUGCUAUGUUCCAGAUAGGUAGGUAGGUAGGUAGGUAGACAGAUUAGAUAGAUGGAUGGAUAGAUGAAUAGAUUAGAUAGAUAAAUAGUAGAUACAUAGAUGAAUUGAUUAAGUAGAUGAAUAGAUAGGUAGGUGGAUAGAUGAAUAUAUUAGAUACAUGAUAGAUAAGAUAGAUAGAUAAAUAGAUUACAUAAAUAGACAAAUGGAAGAUAGAUGAAUGCAUUACAUGGCUGGAUGGAUGGAUGGACAGAUGUAGAUAAUAGAUGGAUGGAUAGGUGAGCAGAUAGAUAAAUAGAUAGAUGCGUAUUCUUGGCUUGGGUUACCCCAGAAGCAACCUGAAAUAAGAAUUCACAUGCAAGUAGGAAACACUGGUAGGGGAAUAGAGAAGUGAGAAAUAGGCAAGGGAAGAAAACACAACCAAAGGAGAAUAAUGAAGAAAGUUACCAUUGAGGGCAAAUGAAGCUUAAUUCCAUUGGGGGAUUCUGAGAGACAGUGUAGAGCUUGCUACUCAAAGUGGAUCAUCAUCAUCAUCAUCAUCAUCAUCAUCAUCAUCAUCAUCUGAAGCUCUACCACAAAUCCACUAAAUCAGGAUGUGAAUUUUUAACAGGAUCCCCAAGUGAUAAACUUUGCAAAGUACCAAAGUAGAAUAUGCCUCAAAGUUAAUCAGAUGAAGGGGUGAGAAAACUGUGUCAUUACUAGCCUCCCCCUUGAUACUGCAUGUGAGCUGUUUCUGAAGUUAAUUCCCCUAAACUCCUGGCUUAGCCUUUGUAUGAGCAGGGCAUUCAUGCCCCAGUGGUCAGAAAGAAAGUCCCCAGACUGAAAAUCAAAGGUAUUAGCAUAGUAGAAAGCAGCCCUCAACAUGUGCAGCUAUUAUGAGUUCAGCUGUUAAAUAGUUAGAUCUAAAUAUGAUAUUAAAACUGAGGUUAAAUUAUAAUAAUAAUAACAGCCACAACUCUAAUGCUGAUUCAAUGUUAAAGAUACAUUAAAUAGAUUGAAAUAAGCAGGAUUUCAUUUAGGCAUUUAUUCUCAAUAAAGCAGUUGAUUUACCUAGUAGAAAAAUAACCAUUAUCACAAUUAACUUUAGGAGAAUUCAAGUAAGAUUAACAUUAUUUCUUACUCAGUAGUUAUUUCAGGCCCUCUCAAGCAGGCCAUGAGUGAGAUCAUGAAAUAUGUUCCCAUAUUUCAUUGACUUAUUCUAAUUCCUAAUAUUAACCCCCAGGAGGGGUGGGGAGGCACAUGACUGAGGUUUUGCAUUGCAAAGACAAACUGUGUACUACAUUUAUUAAAGAGUACGUUCAAGAUCUGAAACUAUAGUGGAAAAAAAAAAAGACUUGACUCCUAUUAUAAUGCUAAACACUGGUAAAGACAUUUGGAGAAUAUCCAGAAAAAUCAGUGACUUCUCCCAGACACAAUAUGCGCAAUAAGGUAACUACAGAGGAAAAGCAGUUUCCACAAAGAUGUUAGCUCUGUUACCUGAUACUUGUAUUUUAAAGGAGUAUCAGAGUACUUUAUAGCACACAAAGAAAAAAUCUAUUCCUUCAAAAAAAUUUAAGAUGCAUUCAAAAAUUUCUAAAUCAACUUGGAAAAAAAUUAAAAUAGGAACUUCUUAGAAACAUUGAACUUAAAAAAAGUUCCCAAGAAGAUUUUCAUGUUAAAUAAUAGGACUAUAGAAAAGUGUAAAUCCAUCAUUUUUAGGCAUGACAGGAUAUAUUAAUUGAUGAGCACGAAUUAUACCUUCACACUUGAACUUCAUGAAAUAUAAUUGAAAAGAAAACUGAGCUCUAUAUCCUUUCAUAAAUUUUUUGCUCGAAAACACCAAAUGAAUUCUAAAAUAUUCUAAAUAUUAUAGUAUAAAAUUAUUGCUCAUUUAUUAACCAAAUACCAAAAUCAAAAAACUUUUGCUCAGAAAAUGAAAAGUUAAUGCAUACAGUAUAUUCUUAACAUACCUAAUUAAUAAAAUCCUACUGAAUAUAGUCUUUUUUAUAUAUAUACUUUAAGUUCUAGGGUACAUGUGCACGAUGUGCAGGUUUCUUAUAUAGGUAUACAUGUGCCAUGUUGGUUUGCUGCACCCAAUAACUCAUCAUUUACAUUAGGUAUUUCUCCUAAUGCUAUCCCUCCUCUUACACCCCACCCCACGACAGGCCCCCAGGUGUGAUGUUCCCCUCCCUGUGUCCAAGUGUUCUCAUUGUUCAAUUCCCACCUAUGAGUGAGAACAUGUGGUGUUUGGCUUUUCU
ensembl:lincRNA